ACAUUGGUGGUUCAGUGGUAGAAUUCUUACCUUCCAAGCAGGAGAUCUGAAUUCAAGUUUCGGCCAAUGUA
rnacentral:tRNA from 1 species